rnacentral:rRNA from 1 species
AUUGAACGCUGGCGGCAGGCUUAACACAUGCAAGUCGAGCGGUAACAGGAGAGGCUUGCUUCUCGCUGACGAGCGGCGGACGGGUGAGUAAUACUUAGGAAUCUACCUAGUAGUGGGGGAUAGCUCGGGGAAACUCGAAUUAAUACCGCAUACGACCUACGGGAGAAAGGGGGCAACCUGUUGCUCUCGCCAUUAGAUGAGCCUAAGUCGGAUUAGCUAGAUGGUGGGGUAAAGGCCUACCAUGGCGACGAUCUGUAGCUGGUCUGAGAGGAUGAUCAGCCACACCGGGACUGAGACACGGCCCGGACUCCUACGGGAGGCAGCAGUGGGGAAUAUUGGACAAUGGGGGCAACCCUGAUCCAGCCAUGCCGCGUGUGUGAAGAAGGCCUUUUGGUUGUAAAGCACUUUAAGCAGUGAAGAAGACUCUAGGGUUAAUACCCUUAGACGAUGACAUUAGCUGCAGAAUAAGCACCGGCUAACUCUGUGCCAGCCGCCGCCGUAA